GUUGGUACUUGUACCGACUGGAUGAGCAGCGAACGGGUGAGUAACGCGUGGGGAAUCUGCCUUUGAGCGGGGGACAACAUUUGGAAACGAAUGCUAAUACCGCAUAAAAACUUUAAACACAAGUUUUAAGUUUGAAAGAUGCAAUUGCAUCACUCAAAGAUGAUCCCGCGUUGUAUUAGCUAGUUGGUGAGGUAAAGGCUCACCAAGGCGAUGAUACAUAGCCGACCUGAGAGGGUGAUCGGCCACAUUGGGACUGAGACACGGCCCAAACUCCUACGGGAGGCAGCAGUAGGGAAUCUUCGGCAAUGGACGAAAGUCUGACCGAGCAACGCCGCGUGAGUGAAGAAGGUUUUCGGAUCGUAAAACUCUGUUGGUAGAGAAGAACGUUGGUGAGAGUGGAAAGCUCAUCAAGUGACGGUAACUACCCAGAAAGGGACGGCUAACUACGUGCCAGCAGCCGCGGUAAUACGUAGGUCCCGAGCGUUGUCCGGAUUUAUUGGGCGUAAAGCGAGCGCAGGUGGUUUAUUAAGUCUGGUGUAAAAGGCAGUGGCUCAACCAUUGUAUGCAUUGGAAACUGGUAGACUUGAGUGCAGGAGAGGAGAGUGGAAUUCCAUGUGUAGCGGUGAAAUGCGUAGAUAUAUGGAGGAACACCGGUGGCGAAAGCGGCUCUCUGGCCUGUACUGACACUGAGGCUCGAAGCGUGGGAGC
rnacentral:rRNA from 1 species